GCCGUGCAGGAGCCAGCCUUCAUCGCCUGCAACACGAUUAAAGCCUGCAAGGAGCUUUUCAUCACCGUGAUUCGCCAAGGUGGCACAGAUUUGAUUGGGUUUAUGGUCAGAUGCUCUAUUUUGUUCCUUGGGUUUUACGUGUUUUGAAAAAAACAUUUCCUGGGAGAUCUCAGUUUUAAAUAUCAGCACAUUCUACAGUCCUGCACUCCCACAACACCACUGCUUUCAGCUUCAUCCCACCUCAGUAAGCACUUCCUAGGAAUUAAAUGGAGGCAAUAGCAGCAGAAUUGCUUGUAAAUAUAAAUGGAGCUAAAUUACAAAAACUUAUGUAUAAUCAGUAGGGAUCUAAGAUUCUAGAGGGAUCUGCCAUACAAAAUUCAGUUACAGAAAGAACUCUAUGGUAUAUCUUUGCAAAUUUGUUUUCUUAUAUUUGGGGGGGAACUGUUUAAUAAUAACAUAGUAUCAUAAUUCUUCAAAGCAGAGAGAUUGACUUUCUCUGAAACUGGAGUGUACUCAGUGGAACAAACACUUGAAGGACUUGUAAAAGGCAAAACAGUUCUGCUGAAGCUGACAACGGUUAGGUGUGUCUCUUGACGCAGUCAUGAUGCAGAACGUCAGAAGGAAUGAGGUUCCAGCCCCAACAACUCACCAGGGUGCAGCUGCUACUACAAGUACGAGGAUCCGCUCCCACUAUGGAGAAGUGUGUCCAGAAGGUGCUUGAGCAGGCUUACUUCUUUCAGACACCUACCCCACAGCAGCUCAAGGACACUGUCUACUUUGAAGAGACUGCAGAACCAGACCCGGCAUCAGACUGGUACUGAAACGAGGCACAUCAAGUACUUUCAAACAACUUCCUCAGGUGCUCCCCUCAGGAGGCUCAUGCCAGCAUCGUGGGCACGCGGCUGCUCCCGCACCCUGGUGCUGCCACACCUGCAGGCUGGGCCCCCAGCAGCUCUGCUGUUGUGAUACAGACUGCUCAAGUCUACUGUCAAGACAAAUCCAUACCCAAGGAAGCAGACACCAAGGGUUUCUGUGGGAUUUACCUCCAGUUCCCACGUGUGCCCAAAGCUACAGUUGAAGCCUGGCAGUGGAGAGGCCAUCACCUGAUCCAUAAGACUGUCACAAAACAGCAUGCUGUGUUGCACAUGUGUACAAAGCCUUGGGAAAUAUCUAAUACGUAGCCACACCUGCAAUUCCUUUCUCUCUAUUCCACGCUGCUCAUCAGGAGGAUUACCAUUUAACUUCCCCACAUUAACAUGCGUACUGGUGUUUCCAGAUCCCUCCUAGGUAGAGGAAUAAUCCCAAAAUGAGUUUUCCAUACUAGGUAAACACUUUACUAAAAGGAGAGUAAUCAAUCCUCUCAGUUUCUCCUCUUUCUCUCCAUUUCUUUGUAAGCUCUCUCUUUCCCCUUUUCUGUUCCGCCAAAACAUUAUCCCCCAAAACAGAUCUCAAACACUCUACCUAAACCAAAAGAAAAAGCCUUCAACAAGGUUCUCCUUAGGUGAAUAACAUACAAAUGAGGGUAGAUCCAAACUGAAUUUCCAUUUAGUUCAGCUAAUGAACAGGAAAAAGGUUGAUAUUGUUCACAUUUUUGAAAAUUAUAGAACAAGUCAGACCAAGGAAAUAGCUGCACUGGACCUCAGGACCUCUAAAACUCUUUCCUGGGAAUUAUGAACUCAAUGUAGGCCAAGCAUGUUUUUUUUUUUUUUCCUCCAUCUUUUCACUGUAAAGUAGCAAGAGUGAAUUGGAACUUUACACACUUAUUAACCUUUCAAAAAUAAUUUCUAGAAUGAAUGGCCCUUAUCUCAAACAACAGUAGACCAUAUUAGUCACAGAUGGAAAGGGAGUUAUUUAUCAGUGAGCUUUACAGUCAUGUAGUACACAGCUUCUAAGACAGAUUUCUUAAAGCUUUCUAGAAAAAGAGGGAAGGGCAGGAGGUACUGCCCUUCUAAAAUUGGCAAUGUACUCCUACCUUCCCUUCUUUUUGCUGGUGCAAUAUAGUUCAGCACAACACAUGAGCUGUUUGUGCCAAGUUCCCAUUUGUAAGACAAGAGAACAUCAUUUACCAUAUUUAGUGGAUUUGUGAGAACAGAUAAUGAAUGUCUUCAAAAACCUUUAAGAUCAAGCAUGAAGAUUGUUUUUUUUCUCCUUCCCUUGCCUUCAGCUUUACUGGAACUUCCUCCUGCUGUGUUGGUUACCACCAGUAACUUUCCCAGGAGGCUUUCUGCUCAGAAGCUUUUCUACCAUACCCUUCCUGAUUAUCUUGCAAGCUUGUGCUUCUUAAGCUAGAAAUAAUUGUGGUGGAUCCAUUCCACCCUACAAAGUGCAUGUUAACCAGCUGUUUUGUAGAGAUGCUAAUUCCUUAGUACUUUAUGCAGUAUGUGAACCAGAUAUUUCUGCAUAGAGAUUUGGUCUUUUUCAUUGUUGAAAAAUACCAUGUCAAUAAAGACAUUCUUUAACAGAUAUCA
ensembl:lncRNA